rnacentral:lncRNA from 10 species
ACACUGCCCCAGCCCAAGUCUUUGCCAUUGUAGAUGACUUUACCUCUUGUGCCAGGGACAACUUCACCCCAGAUAUGAAAACCUCUGUCCCAGUGGUGCCUAUGGAGUGCCUCUCCUAAGGCAUGCAUUAAACAUGGGGUAUUUAUGCUUUUCUCCCUUGGAUGUUAAAGGUUCUACUAUGUUUCUGAGCUUGCUGUCUGCCUAACCUAUGAUUCUGGUAUAUUCCUUGCUCUUUGCCAAAAUGUACACCCUACACUUCCAUGUCUAACAGGAAAUCUAGUAGAGGUUACUACUAUCUAUGCCGUUCUAAAAAUUAGUGGAAAUUACUGCUUUCCUCGGGAGGCAUCUGCCUCAAAUCAGUCAACCCCUUCUCCCCCUAGAAAGAGUACCAUUUACUCCCUGAUGCCUUUUCUACUCUCACCUUGCAUCUCCUACUAUGAUCACUCUUUCCCCUUGAUCACACACAAAUACCACUAACCUUUACAUAUACCUAUCAUUUCAUACCCUUCCAACAUUACAACUGCCAAACUUGUCACUUUGACCUGAACAUGUUUCUAAUGCACUUAAUAACACUACCAAGAUAUUGUUAGUGACCCUAAAGAUUUCAGAACUACUGUCUUGGAUAAUACCAUAUAACCAAAUUUAAAAACUCCCAAAGCGCCAUUUGCUUAAAUCUACCACCUGCCUUCAUUCCUCACCAGGGAUGGCUACAUGUUAUGACCAAGUUAACCUAUGGGCUUACCACUUGUGCCCAGGAGCCAACCAGCAGUGGCCAAUUCCCCACCCCGAGGCCUUCACCCUCCUUACAAUGAUACUCUCAUGGGUACACUAUACUCUGAAUAAUGGCACAUUUGGUUUUUUUUGUGGCUUGAAAUCACAGGCACAGCACCUUAUGUAUUUUUCCUUGCCAAUCACCCUGGAUGUUUUCCCUAAUAAAAUCUGGUAAAUAGUGUUUACACUGGGGAUUGCCAUGGUUCUUUGUCCACUUGGUACUUCCCUGUUUCCAUUAACCCAAAGACACAAGGCAAAAUGGGCAGUGUUUAUCCCUAUCUUAAUAGGACUUGCCAUAGGCACAGGAGCCACCACUGCUGACACCAAUACAGCAGGCUUUGUCGAAUAAGAUCAAAUCAUAACUGCCAAGCAGCGUCAUUACGUGGCCCUUUCAGAUCAUAUUCAAAGGCUGUACAAAAUACUGUCCUUAAUACAACAAGCCCAUGAGUCUCUAGCUCAAAUGGCAAUAGAUAACAGGCUGGCUCUUGACUAUUAGCCAGGGAAGGAGGAGUUUGUGCCACUCAGGAUACCUCCUACUGUAUGUACAUUAAUAACUCUGGACAGGUACAGGCCAACUAUGAGGAACAGGUCAAAAGGUAAAGGUUUUUCAUGACUUAGCCAAAUAUUCCAACAGAUUCCCUUAAAUCCAGGGGUGCCUGGCCCAUUCUCUUGGCUUUCCUCCACAAAGUGGGAUGCCGUGUUACAAACUGGAUACCAAACCCUCAUCAUAUGCCUAAUAGGACUCUUCUGAGCUGUUACCUUUAUUAAAGUUUACCUUCAGUGGCUAAGUCAUGCUGUCCCAGGCACCUUUAACAUCACAACCCAGGUGGCAAGUGUUAUCCAUCCGAUUAGUAUUGUAAUGAUGUUGAGGCACCACAGGGCAAACUGUAAUGUAAAUUUUAAAGCACUGUAUUUUCCUGCUGCCUCGGUAUCCCCACAAACAGGCUGUGAGCCCCCCAGCCAGCUAUACCAGUGUGAUUAGGCUGGCCCUGCCACAAGUUCUGUUGUGCUGUUUGUGUACUCCAUCCUGGCUGCCAAUAAAGGCACUUCCCCAUAGGUCUUCAUUCUCUUGGCUCCCUAACAGCUCAGUUGAGCCAGCCUCCUUGAUGCUGUCUGUGCCCCCUUGGUUCCCUUGGUGUGCAAUGACUCUCUCUCUAGGACCU